rnacentral:misc_RNA from 1 species
AAAACGUAUCCACGUAUAAACCAAUUAUUUUAAUGUGAAAUGUAAUGUUUAACGCCUUUGAUAGUUAGUUGAUUGCUAUGUGUAUAAUGUUUCGUGAUUAAAGCAAACAUAACACAUGGACUUGUUGAGUAAAAUCGACUAGCAUUAACUAUUGAAGUGUAAUUACUUAAUCACUAUUAACCCAUUGAACUGAUUAACUAUUUGUAUUAAUAGUUUUUCAUUUUAAUUCUAUUGUGUGAACUGAAUUGUCUCUUACUCUGUCAAAGGAGAAGCGAUUAUAUUUACGAAACAUUUAUAAAUUUCUAUGAACAACUCUUAGCAACGGAUAUCUUGGUUCU